rnacentral:lncRNA from 1 species
GCUGAUUCCGCUGUGGCGUGUACUGUGUGGAGCAGUUGCUUAAAGCAGGUGAGCAGCACCAAUACUUACCCACGCGCCUGCUCCUCAUGGAAACGUCAGCUUUAUAACACAGAACGUUCUACGGUUCAGCUUCAUAUUUGGGUAUUCCAUACAUUUGUUGAUCUUUUGUUUUACCCAAUAUAUUCAUCUUUAUUCUCUUCAGUCACCAGGAUAUUAGACACUCCCAACUUCAGGUCAUGUGAAGUACUCUUACCCCAAAUCUCCAUGUCAACACAGAAAUACAUUUCUAAGCCACAUUCCUCAGUGCUGUUAUCUCUUAUCCAGGUAAGGGAGUUAUAAAAUUCAGUAUCAGUGGAUUCCAAAUCCUUAAUAGCAAGUUUUUUACACAGUAGAAUGGUAAAGAGAAACCAGUAUCAAUAAACUUUCCAUCGUUUUUUGAUCUCACAAGGCUCAUGGAUGAAGUUUGUUUAUGCCGUUGCUCCCAUGCGUGAGGACCAAACUGGUGUCCGUGAUUACAUUAGUUUUGUCCCCUCAUCUAAUCUGUUUACCCGGCUGAGCACUGUAUUCCAGAACUUCCUCAAGUCACAGCCGUCGAAGAAGCUCAGCCUCCAUGCGGUUUCCCAUUUCAUUCCAAGGGACCUCUCAGAAGCCAAAGCUGAGCCCUGAAGAAGUGGAAUGAGUCCAUGGGGACUGUGUGUGACCGCAGCUCUCCAUGCUGAAGAGUAUGGGAAGACGGGUCGGCAUGAGAGCUGCCACAGGAGUCCUGGGAAGGUAAUGCACGCAGGGGCGGUCUCGAGCCAAGAACCUGGAGAAGUGACGGAUGAAGACUUUACUACUGGUGAUCGGAAUGCUUCGGAAGGAGCAGACUGGCUUUUGCCUUGCUAUGCUUUAGCUGAAGUUUGGGAAGACAGCACUCCAGAGAUGACCAGAACCCUCCCCACUUCUAAGUAUGGAGAAGCAGCAAGAAGCUGGAUGACAUGGACCAACGCAUGGAGAGGUGCUGUUGUAGAGAGGGGCUUAGAAGAUUUUGAUCAAACUAAAAUACACAAAACACGGGCAGUUUUGAGGGACCUUCAUUGUCUCCACAUUUCUAGGCCAUGAAGCUUCAGAGAAGAUCACAAGGGUGGUGGUGAGAGGCAUGAGCCGAGGCUCCCUGGGGCCCGCCGAGGAGUCACUGGAGAAGCCAGCCCAGGCACAGUCCCUGGAGAACUGGUACCCUAUCUGCACCUUAAAAGUGAAACAGAGUAGGAGACGCUUUGGUGGGAACAAUGUCAUCAACAUAAAACCAGCAAACAACAAAAAUACUCAGAGCAGCACACACACCUGUGUGUGCGAGCACCUGCGAACACAUGAACUGAUUUAAGGAGCUGCUUGAUUCUUAAUGAGGAGUAAACAUAGAGUGAAAAACCUUUCUUUCACCAAAAUAUACUUACUGUUCCUCUAAAUUGUAAAGAUAUGUAGCUCUUGAGAGCUGA